CGACGUAGGGGGCGAGCGUUGCUCGGAAUCACUGGGCUUAAAGGACGCGUAGGCGGUUAUGCAAGUCCAGGGUAGAAGGCGGAGGCUCAACCUCCGUAAUGCCUUGGAGACUGCAUAACUUGAGUAAGCGAGGGGAGGGCGGAAUUCCCGGUGUAGCGGUGAAAUGCGUAGAUAUCGGGAGGAAGGCCUGUGGCGAAGGCGGCCCUCUGGCGCUUAACUGACGCUGAGGCGCGAAAGCGUGGGGAGCAAACAGGAUUAGAAACCCUAGUAGUCC
rnacentral:rRNA from 1 species